rnacentral:rRNA from 1 species
UACGAAGGGUGCAAGCGUUACUCGGAAUUACUGGGCGUAAAGCAUGCGUAGGUGGUUUUUUAAGUCCGUUGUGAAAGCCCUGGGCUCAACCUGGGAAUGGCAGUGGAUACUGGAAAGCUAGAGUGCGGUAGAGGGUAGUGGAAUUCCCGGUGUAGCAGUGAAAUGCGUAGAGAUCGGGAGGAACACCAGUGGCGAAGGCGGCUACCUGGACCAGCACUGACACUGAGGCACGAAAGCGUGGGGAGCAAACAGG